GGCUGUCUGUAUGUAAUACCUAUACAACACCGACUGGACAUGUCUCCCCUGCCUUACACGCCACGGGAGUUUGAGGCAAUGCCAAAAGCCUGGUGUGUGUCGUGCAGUAAACAUGUGCCGUUGCAGCUAUUAAGUCUGCAUGUGGAGACCUGUACGAAGCCGUAAGUUGAUGAAAUCCACUCUGACAGUGAUGAUGUUGAUGAAGGGGCUCUACUGCAGCAAUCUAAUUUGGAGAGUAUGGAUUCCACAGAGCUUCCAUCCUGCUCCCAAGUUCCUGAUGUUAAAG